rnacentral:sRNA from 1 species
UGUUCGUGAAGCUGUGCGGAGUUGAAGUGAAUGUGGAUAUCGAGGCCGCCGGCGGUUGCUAUCUUCCCCUCAGCCGGAUAGACAUCCGUCGACGGGCCGACGACCAUGUCGACGCCGUCCAUUGUGUCGGGGUUGCCGGCUUUCCCGAUGCCGGCGAUUUCCCCGUUUCGAAUGCCGAUAUCGGCGGCAACGAUACCCAGUAUCGGGUCGAUAAUCGUCGCGUUCGUCAGCACCCAGUCGAGUGCGCCCUCCGCCUGUGUGACGCCGGGAGCCAUUCCCAGCCCGUCCCGGAG